rnacentral:sRNA from 1 species
CCUACUUUAGCUUCCGGAAUCCAGUUGCGGUUCUAGUUCUUAUACUCAAUCAUACACAUGACAUCUAGUCAUGUUUGACACAAAAACCCAAACCAUGCUUCUACUUCCUUCACAAAGAUUUGACCAUGUAAGAGAAAUCCCU